GGGGAUAGCCCGAAGAAAUUCGGAUUAACACCGCAUAAAAACACAGUACAGCAUUGUACAAUGUUCAAAUAUUAAUAGGAUCAGGAUGGGCAUGCGUGACAUUAGUUAGUUGGCGGGGUAACGGCCCACCAAGACCACGAUGUCUAGGGGAUCUGAGAGGAUGACCCCCCACACUGGUACUGAGACACGGACCAGACUCCUACGGGAGGCAGCAGUAAGGAAUAUUGGUCAAUGGGGGCAACCCUGAACCAGCCAUGCCGCGUGCAGGAAGACCGCCCUCUGGGUCGUAAACUGCUUUUAUUCGGGAAUAAACCUUUCUACGUGUAGGAAGCUGAAUGUACCGAAGGAAUAAGGAUCGGCUAACUCCGUGCCAGCAGCCGCGGUAAUACGGAGGAUCCAAGCGUUAUCCGGAUUUAUUGGGUUUAAAGGGUGCGUAGGCGGCUGUUUAAGUCAGGGGUGAAAGACGUUAGCUCAACUAACGCAGUGCCCUUGAUACUGAAGAGCUUGAAUGGACUAGAGGUAGGCGGAAUGUGACAAGUAGCGGUGAAAUGCAUAGAUAUGUCACAGAACACCGAUUGCGAAGGCAGCUUACUAUGGUUUAAUUGACGCUGAGGCACGAAAGCGUGGGGAUCAAAC
rnacentral:rRNA from 1 species